rnacentral:rRNA from 1 species
AACGCUGGCGGCGUGCCUAAUACAUGCAAGUCGAGCGAACAGACGAGGAGCUUGCUCCUCUGACGUUAGCGGCGGACGGGUGAGUAACACGUGGAUAACCUACCUAUAAGACUGGGAUAACUUCGGGAAACCGGAGCUAAUACCGGAUAAUAUAUUGAACCGCAUGGUUCAAUAGUGAAAGACGGUUUUGCUGUCACUUAUAGAUGGAUCCGCGCCGCAUUAGCUAGUUGGUAAGGUAACGGCUUACCAAGGCGACGAUGCGUAGCCGACCUGAGAGGGUGAUCGGCCACACUGGAACUGAGACACGGUCCAGACUCCUACGGGAGGCAGCAGUAGGGAAUCUUCCGCAAUGGGCGAAAGCUUGACGGAGCAACGCCGCGUGAGUGAUGAAGGUCUUCGGAUCGUAAAACUCUGUUAUUAGGGAAGAACAAAUGUGUAAGUAACUAUGCACGUCUUGACGGUACCUAAUCAGAAAGCCACGGCUAACUACGUG